AAUCGGGCAUCGGUGGCGGGUGUUUACGAACCGUGUCAGGCCUUGACGGGAGCAGCACUAAGUAUGACUUCCCGGGCACCGGUGUCUGAUUGUU
rnacentral:SRP_RNA from 1 species